UGGGGAAUAUUGGACAAUGGGCGAAAGCCUGAUCCAGCCAUGCCGCGUGUGUGAAGAAGGUCUUCGGAUUGUAAAGCACUUUAAGUUGGGAGGAAGGGCAGUAAGCGAAUACCUUGCUGUUUUGACGUUACCGACAGAAUAAGCACCGGCUAACUCUGUGCCAGCAGCCGCGGUAAUACAGAGGGUGCAAGCGUUAAUCGGAAUUACUGGGCGUAAAGCGCGCGUAGGUGGUUCGUUAAGUUGAAUGUGAAAGCCCCGGGCUCAACCUUGGAACUGCAUCCAAAACUGGCGAGCUAGAGUAGGGCAGAGGGUGGUGGAAUUUCCUGUGUAGCGGUGAAAUGCGUAGAUAUAGGAAGGAACACCAGUGGCGAAGGCGACCACCUGGGCUCAUACUGACACUGAGGUGCGAAAGCGUGGGGAGCAAACAGG
rnacentral:rRNA from 1 species